AGACCCGAAACCCGGUGAUCUAGCCAUGGGCAGGUUGAAGGUUGGGUAACACUAACUGGAGGACCGAACCGACUAAUGUUGAAAAAUUAGCGGAUGACCUGUGGCUGGGGGUGAAAGGCCAAUCAAACCGGGAGAUAGCUGGUUCUCCCCGAAAGCUAUUUAGGUAGCGCCUCGUGAAUUCAUCUCCGGGGGUAGAGCACUGUUUCGGCUAGGGGGCCAUCCCGGCUUACCAACCCGAUGCAAACUGCGAAUACCGGAGAAUGUUAUCACGGGAGACACACGGCGGGUGCUAACGUCCGUCGUGAAGAGGGAAACAACCCAGACCGCCAGCUAAGGUCCCAAAGUCAUGGUUAAGUGGGAAACGAUGUGGGAAGGCCCAGACAGCCAGGAUGUUGGCUUAGAAGCAGCCAUCAUUUAAAGAAAGCGUAAUAGCUCACUGGUCGAGUCGGCCUGCGCGGAAGAUGUAACGGGGCUAAACCAUGCACCGAAGCUGCGGCAGCGACGCUUAUGCGUUGUUGGGUAGGGGAGCGUUCUGUAAGCCUGUGAAGGUGGCCUGUGAGGGUUGCUGGAGGUAUCAGAAGUGCGAAUGCUGACAUAAGUAACGAUAAAGCGGGUGAAAAGCCCGCUCGCCGGAAGACCAAGGGUUCCUGUCCAACGUUAAUCGGGGCAGGGUGAGUCGACCCCUAAGGCGAGGCCGAAAGGCGU
rnacentral:rRNA from 1 species